rnacentral:lncRNA from 1 species
AAUGGAAUAAUCAGCCUCUUUUUAGAAGAUAAUUUUUGGAGGAAGAAGAAUCCCCAUAAUUGACAAUUGACAAUACUCAUUUAUGAAACACCUGCUAUUUUAAGAUCAGUAAUAAAGGUCAACACCUGCCUGUCUUCUACAUGGAAAUUUACUGUAACAGAAAAAGGAAACAUUGGUUAAAACUUCAUUGGAUUGCCUCCUUUAAAGGUCCAGAGCAUUACUCCCAGGGAGAAUAAAUCAGUCCUAAGGAGGCAAGUAAAACUGUGGGUAGUUUAAUGUUUAAUCAAUAUUUGUUAUAGCUGUCAUUAAUUUGGGGUCAAAUUCACAACACAUGAGUUUUCCCACGUCGUACAUGGGCUUUACAUUAAAUUGGCCUUUCCUGGUGGAUUUACAUCCAUUUUAUUAGUUCAUUAAUUUACCUUUUAAGUUACUACUGAAGUUUACACCUGUAUCUCUCCUCUACAAUAUACUUAUUUAUCUGUGGCUUAUUUACUAUCAACAAAGAGUUAGAAAAAACACUCUUUAAUUUUCCUAUGGCUCCUAGGAGGAAAGAUGACUCACUUUGUAACAAGUUACUUUAAGACAUUUCACUCUGCUAUGCCCUUUCCUGACUCAACACAUGAGAAAAGCUGCCACUGAUAAAAAUCUUCCCUUGUUAGGGGAGAAAAUGUCAUCUCUGCUCUAGGUGCUGAGUGAAGAAUAGCUAUAAAAUAAUGCACAUCAAAAAUACGUGGUUUAUGGAAUUGAAUAUACAUAGCCUAAUCCCCUGGAAAUGUAUGAAAGUUUUCCUGUCUCCUUCCAAAAACAACCUGAGAGUGUCAAGAAAGAACAAAGACGCCACCUAAUACAUCCUCCUCCCUGACAUUUUUCUCUUGACAAGGGAAGAAAUUUGUCAAUAGAAGCAAACAGUCUCCAUCAUUUUGAGUCCCAAUUAAGUAACACAUCAGCCUGGUUUGCCCCCAUCUUCUCUGCAGCAUCACUACUUCACGGUCCAAGAAAACACGUGGGUUGUGGCUUCUCCAUUUUUUAAGAUUCAUGCUUUUGACCAAUAAAGAGCAACAAAGGAUAUUUUUGUUCUAGAGGAAAUAAGAGAAGGAAACAAAACCCAUCCAGCUCAACAGUGGACCUCAGUCAAGUCAUUAUAAACCCUCUGGCUUGCAACACCUAUUUUAAUAUACCUGCUCUCCUCCCCUAACCAGUAACCUCACUCUCUUUCCAAGUCUUUAUUUAUGCACAUAAACAGGUCAAGUAGCAAUAAUAUAAACUGCUCAAAGUUGGACAAAAAAAGGGACAUAACUACUGUGGAUGAUUCAUAGCAAUUUUUUUCCGUGCUGCUACAGGGUCUCUUCUGACUGCUAAAAUCUCCAUCUUCUGAAGAGAAGAAAGCCAAUUAUAUCUGGGAUAGACACGCCAGUUUUGGACUCUGGAAUAUGACAUUUUAUCAGAUAUAACAGAACCAUUAUUUACUGCUCUGAAGAAACAGGUAGUAUCAGUUAUUACUGGUUGGUUAGGGUGAGGAAAAAAAGAUCCAAGUCAACCAUUAACUUGCUUUUAGUGCUCAACCUUUUAUAAAAACAGCUACCAAAAUCAUAUUUAUUUUUUGACUUUGGGGUUGGAAGGGCCAUCUGAAACCAGUGACUACUCAAUGGAAUUAACCAGAGAGAAAAGUCAUCUGAAAGGUUCAAAGCCAUCUCCUCAAUUUCCAACAAUGCUUGUUAACAGAAAAAUUUUUGUGUCUCCACUAAAUUCUUUCAAUGCUCUUUUUUUUUCAAUCUAAAUCAAAUCAGAGAGCAUUCUUAUGCAAUCAUCUGAAUUCUAUCCAUUUAAAGCAUAAAUUAAUUAUGAUCGAGUGGGAGUUUGGGGUUAGAAGAAAGAAACUAUUACAUUUAGAAUGAAUAUGCAGUGAGAUCCUACUAUAUAGCACAGGGAACUAUUUCCAAUCUUUUGGGAUAGAGCAUGAUGGAAGACAAUAAAAUUAAUGUGUGUGUGUGUGUGUCAAGGUCAUAUAUACGUGUAUGACUGGAUCAGUCUGCUGUACAGCAGAAAUUGGCACAACAUUGUAAAUCAACUAUACUUUAAUUUUUUUAAUUACAAAAAAAAAAAAAAAGAGAAACACCUUAACUUGAAAUCUAAAGAGCGAAUGGCUGUAGCAUAAAGACAAGAAAACAGCAUAAAUAAAGCUUAAGGCUUAAGAUCAUCCAGGAGAGCUGUCAUCAUUUUUAAGUCAAUGUAUCUCUGAAUUAACAUUUUACAUAGCCAAGGCCUCUGCCCAAAUAUCUUGCACCCUCUCUGUGUCAAUUUGGAUAGUCUAAGAUCUGCUUAGGUAACAAAUAAUCCUGAAUCUCAGAGGCUGAGAAAAAUAUAAAUUAAUUUCUUACUCACACGGUAUGCCCAUCAUGGGUCAACCGCAGCUAGGCUUCACCCUUUCUUCAUUCUGGGAUCAAGGUUAACGGAGCAGCCUUCAUCUGAAACAUUAUUUGUUGCUAGGGAAGAAAAUAUUACAAAGAGGGAAAGGAAAGUAUGAUGAAGCAGGAAGUGGUUUUCCAAGCUUCUGUCCCAGAGUGACAUGCAUCACUUUAGAUCAUAUUUCACUGCCCAAAGCAAGUCACAUAAUACGACCUGAGUUAAAGAGGGCAAGGAUAUGUAACCCUCUUCUAACCGAUGAUGGCUCUCCUUACCUCUAGUCUAUUUCCUAUCAAAGCCAGUUCCCCCAUUGCUCCCUCAGGCCCUCUUCAAAUCAGACCAUAUUCCACCUCUGCACAGAAAUUUCUACAAUUGAGCUCCUCCUGCUGGUAUAUGUAUCAGCACUGGAGUAUGUAGAAAUGGGGCACGGGAGCUCUCCAGUAAACAAGUUCCCAUUGUGGCACAGUGGAAAUGAAUCCAACUAGGAACCAUGAAGUUGCAGGUUCAAUCCCUGGCCUCAUUCAGUAGGUUAAGUAUCCGGUGUUGCCAUGAGUUGUGGUGUAGGUCUCAGCCACGGCUCAGAUCCUGCAUUGCUGUGGCUGUGGUGCAGGCUGGCAGCUGUAGCUCCAAUUUGACCCCUAGCCUGAGAACUUCCAUAUGCUGUAGGUAAAAAAAAAAAAAAAAAAAAAAAAAGAAGUUGGUGUUUGACCCCCAGAGUUGUGGAGAUUAAGUGAGACAGUGUAGUUAAACCAGUGUAUGGGGUAAAUCCCAGUAUAUUGUAUUAAUGCUUUCUUCUUGUUUCCCUUUUAUUUGAAAUGUGUUUCUAGAUAUUGUUUAAUCUGCUGAAUAAAGCUCUGGUAGAAGAGAGAAAUUUUUUUUUUCCAAAAAUGGAAGGGAGAAAAGGUGAGUUGCUUUGGGGUUCUUGCUCAGGAAAGUCCAACAGCUGGAAAUCUGAUAGCUGCAAUGUUCUCUAUCACCUACCACCAAAGAAUGAAAGGCUUUUAUGAACUGGGAGUCUGGGAUUGGCACAGGCACACUGAGGUAUAUGGAAUGACUGGCCGACAGGGACCUUCUGUAUAGCACGGAGAACUCUACCUGAUAUUCUGUGAUAAUCUAUAUGGGGAAAGAAUCUGAAAAAGAAUGGAUGCGUAUACAUUUAUAACUGAAUCCCUUUGUCGUACAGCAGAAAUUACCACAUGGUCAACCAACUGUACUUCAAUAAAACUUUAAAAAAUGGGGGAAAAAAGUUGGUGUUUGAGUUGGGUCUCAUUGGGCUACUCCACAUCUCCUGUUGCCAUGGGUGCAGGUUCAUCCACUCUCAAGAAUUUUUUAGCGGCAGAGGCUGAGAAGUACCAGGGCCUACACUAUCUGGCACUUCCUGCCUCUCUAAGGUGGCAACAUCCACUGUGCUGUCCCAUAACCACAUGUGACUAUUGAGCACUUGCUUUGUGGCAACUGUGACCAGGGACCUGGAUGUUUAAUUUUAUUUAAAUUGAUAGAGAACAUUACCAUCUUUGGUAGGCAGGAUAAUGGCCUUCCAAAGAUGGCCAUGUCUAAAUCCCUGGAACAUGUGGCUAUGCUUUGUGACACGGCAAAGAGUAAGUGUGCUAAUCAGUUGACCUUAAAAUAGAGAGACUGUCCUGAGUCACCCAUAUGGGCCCAAGUCCAGAACCAAUUUCCUUUCCUUGUUAGUACAACUGAGGUAAGCAGAUGGAUUCAAGCAUCACUUGCUAAAAAAACCAAGGAGCUGGGAAAAAUGAGUAACGAAAAUGCACACAGAAUGAGUCAGGGACACAAAGGAAUCUGCUCCUAAGAAUCUCAGCAAAAGUAUAGAGGCAUUUGCUGGGCCUGCAUCGCCUCUUUUCUAGUAACGGCUCUUGACCCACAGACCACUGAGUGCAAUGUACCCCCGUAUUGCUUACUAGGGGUUCUUCUCUUUGGACUUCCCUGCACCUAGAUCAAAAUGGCUGCUUAUUCUUGUUCCUCAAAACGGCAGGGCUCUCUGUGGAAGUAUUCCAUCAAAACACAUCCUCCAGAUUACAAUCAGAGGGACAAGCCCAGUUCCGAGUUUCUCUCCCAGGAUCUUCGCACCCUAAAGAACGAUCGUACACCAGCUGGCCAGUUAUCACGUCCACCCACUUGCUCAUCUGGCCUGUGACUCACCCCACAGGUCCUCACCUCCCCCUUCCCCACAUGGCCCACCCUUCAGGGAAGUGGUCUUUUAUAAUUAGAGUUCAAUAUUUAAAAUUAGCUUAUGCAUUCAGUAACCAAAACACAAAUAGAAUGUAGUAGGUUAUACUCUCACAAGGCCAUUCCAGGGUGUUUAUACAGGUCUUCCUAAUAUAGCAGCCUAUUUAAUAAGAAUGAUCCAAAUAUGUCUUAACUCUUUAGGAUCUACAAGUGUGCCUCAUACAAAAUUGAACACACACUCUUACUUUUACCUGUAGAGAUCCCCAUCUGGCAUUACUCUAAAGAAAAUCUUGGCUUUUCCUGGUGGCCUAGUGGUUAAGGAUUCAAUGUUGUCACUGCUGCAGAUGGAAAUCGAUCCCUGGUCCAGGAACUUUGGCAUACCACGAGUGUGACCAAAAAAAAAAAAUCUUUCUCCAUAACGAAAACCAUCAGACUAUUAGAUCAUACAGAUCUAACAUUACUGGAUUGAGAAAACAAUGCAAUUUCUAAAGGAGCUGAUAAUAUGCACUAUCCCUUAAUGUCAAGGCCA